CCUUCACUGUAUAUGCAGCCACACGUUCAUGUCACCUCCUAUUCCCUUUCAAGUCUGCUAAUCCAAGGAACACUCACAACACAAACAUGAGGACCCUUAUCUUUUCAUCCCUGUAACUCUUAAAUGUUACCACAGACACCAAAUCCCACCUCUCCUCCACCUCGAUCACUGAUCGGCGACCACAAGGAAGGCCGGCGAUGGUAGCCGACACCCCACUCCUCCGACAGCACUCACCCCGCUUCACAGUCCCCCUCAUCCGAUGAACAUCAGUGGCAGUGGCGGUGUGAUUCUCAGCAGCGACGAAGAUGGUGUCGAGUGGCGGUUCAAGCAGGAGAAAGGGAGCGGCGUCGCCGCUCACGGCGGCGGUAGUGGAGGCGACGACGGUGGUGCCCGUUGUCUCGAGUUCGGUUCUCCGUCAAACACUCGACAAAGCUCCGUGACGAUGAUGAUGUUUGAUGGACGGUGGUUGUGGCCCGAGUGACAAACCUCCGCCGCCAAUCGGCGACCGGAGACACCACUUCAGUGGUGACGCGGUGGUGAUGGUUCAGCGUGGUGCGACAUCGGCAAUGGUGGUGGACAAUAUUUUUGGAUCGAGUUUUGUUUGGGUCAGCUUAGUUCUGUUUCAGGUCUUGAGCUUCGGUUCCGGUCAUCAUCAGUCUUGUUGUUCUCGAUUUGUAUUCGGGUGACAUCGGUGUUCCAUCAUCCUAACCUCACACUCGUCGACACUUGGAUAAUCGGAAGACUUAGCAAUUUUGUGAGUAUACUCGAUCCCUUUUUCCCCUUUUCACUUUGGGAUGCAA